rnacentral:rRNA from 1 species
GACGAACGCUGGCGGCGUGCUUAACACAUGCAAGUCGAACGGUAAGGCCCCUUCGGGGGUACACGCGUGGCGAACGGGUGAGUAACACGUGCGCAACCUGCCCUCGACUCUGGAAUAACAGUUGGCAACAGAUGCUAAUACUGGCUAUUUAUCGUCUCCUUCCUGGGGGGUGGUGGAAAGCUCCGGCGGUCAGGGAUGGGCUCGCGGCCUAUCAGCUUGUUGGUGAGGUAAUGGCUCACCAAGGCUUCGACGGGUAGCCGGCCUGAGAGGGCGACCGGCCACACUGGGACUGAGAUACGGCCCAGACUCCUACGGGAGGCAGCAGUGGGGAAUAUUGCACAAUGGGCGGAAGCCUGAUGCAGCAACGCCGCGUGCGGGAUGACGGCCUUCGGGUUGUAAACCGCUUUCAGUAGGGACGAAGGGUGACUGACGGUACCUACAAAAGAAGGACCGGCUAACUACGUG